AUGGAUUUUGGGACUGAACUGAAGGGAUGUGUUUGCCGGAUCAACAACUGCGCCAUCGAACUCUUCUCCAUGGAGGAGGAUUUGGAGAUUGAAGACGAAGACUCAUGGGACCUGGUUGGGAGGGACCUCCGUCUGAAGGCCACCUUCAUGUAUAUUGACCUCAGCCGUGUGAUCUCCUCCUGUGAGAGCGAUGAGCGCAAGAAGACGCUCACCGGCCUAGCCAACAAGUUCUUCUACUUCAUGGACGAGUUGGGCAAUGCGGUGAAGGACAGAAGCGCCCCCCUGGUGCAGGUGUGCUACAGAGACACAGCUCAUGUUCUUCGCGAGGUGGUGGCCGCCCUUGAGCCGUCCCAUUAG
rnacentral:rRNA from 1 species